UUGACUUGAAGAACAGACUUGGUCUCAUCGUAUUUUCGAAGCACAAUGGAGUUGAAAGUUACUUUUCACAAUUUCGACACAUUCUCGCAGAGCUAUCUGCCAUAGGAGUCAAAGUAGAUGACUCAGAUCUCGUAUAGAUUGUCGUCAAAGCUCAACGUGACUCCUACGACAACUUCUUGAGUCACUACACAAGCGGCGGAGGGUACCCCACUCUGGACAAGCUUCAGUCUCGGUUCAUAGGCGAAACACUGCCAGCAAAGCUCUCUACUUCCGCCUGAAUCACAAAAGCAGU
rnacentral:lncRNA from 1 species